rnacentral:lncRNA from 1 species
GCUCCGUGGUGUGACAAAUCAUAUUCACGGGGACAUUUGGAAAGCUCCGGCUUGUCAUUGUUUUCUUUUGUUUUCUUUUCCAGGGCGCUCACAGAAUGGGUGUGGGUCUCUAAAAGCGGGGUCCACGCCAGGUAACGCGUGGCAUCGAUGGCAGGGUGGGGUCCCUGCAGAUGUGCCCGCGAAGCCCCAGGGCCCCCAAGGUAUACUGAGCAGCAGAGAGCACGGGAGAGCCAAACCCGCUGGUGAACAGCUCUGCCCUGAAGGGAUUUUGAACCUCGGAACGCUUUGGGUGUGAACCAUGAAUCAUGCCUAUGAAGACGGUCACUUCUGGUCUGUUCGAUUAUAACAUCACAACGUGAUUCAACACUCAAAUAGCAAAAUCAUAUUUGCCCCCAAAAAUGCAAUGUCAUCGGUGUGAAGGGCAGCAAGGAUUUCUUCCCUUGCCCAAGAGAGGGGACAGCAGCCGUGGAAGGCUGCACGAGCAGCCCCGGCGGGACAGCAGGCAGGAGCACGAUGCCAGGGGCGGCCUUAACCCACGAGAGCCCUGACGCCAUCAGUACACGGCCGACGAGGAGUGUGACCGCAGGGAACUGCAGAACGGCCCUCCCGACAGCACCUCCUGGUGUCAGCUUCCUCCUCCAGGGAGUCCUCCUGAGCUUCAAGAAGCGCACUCUACUGAUACAGAUUCGAGGAGUCAAAGAAAGUGUGGACAACGUGGAAGAAAGUGUGCAGAAGCACGCAGCUCCUCCAGUAGAGAGAACGGGAGAACGGGCCUGCUCCUGAAACCUCAGGAAACGCACGGCAAGAGGCGUCAUCCAUAUCCCACCACUCGAGUCACUGUCCACAUUUUUUCUACUUCCUUCCAGACUUGUAUUCAUCAAAUGCACCUAUUUCCAAUGCCACAUACACUUUUUCACUUAACAUGACACCGUACCAUCAUUUACAUGAUGGCCUACUCUUCACGGUCAUCAUUUCCGUGGUUGUAUGACAUUCCAUCCAGGGAUACUCUGAUUUACAUUAUGCAUUCCUUACUUACAAAUAUUGUUUUGAAUCUCUUCCUAAUAAUCAUUCACAUAGCCAUGAUUAUCUCUGAGAAGAAAAAAUAUAUAUAUGUGCUUCUCAUGCCUGGAACCUUGUUUUAUUUGUCUUCAUAUCCUCAUCAGUACUUGGGGAAAUAAAUGGAAGCAGAUACAUGGAUGAAUGGAUGGA